UGCGCGAUACUGCCCUUCCGCCAAAGGUGAAAUGUUACGGAUGAGAUGAACAAAUGCGUGAGGCCCUCCUCCAGCGCUGCCAUUCAGGAGCAUUUACUCAGUGAGUGCAAAAGGUUUGUUUGAAACAGACCGCAAUAGAGAGAUCAGUGCCCAGGGAAGCCAGGGAACAGCAGGCUCCUUCCAGCAGCACAUCGGGAUGUGAGCCUGGGACACAGAGGCGGUUUCGAGACGGGAAUUGAUUCGGGAGCAACACAAGAGUCUGCUAACGGUUUGCACCAGAUCAUGUCCACAUGGGGGAUGUCUCUUCUCCUGUCCUCCAGACAAUUACAUGAAGGAGCAAGACAGUAUAACAUUCUCUCGCUAUGAAGCCAAGUGUGAUCAGUUCCUUCUAACAAACAGCAGCUGAAAAUGUGUUGCUGGUCAAAGCACAGCAGGCCAGGCAGCAUCUCAGGAAUAGGGAAUUCGACGUUUUGAGCAUAAGCCCUUCAUCAGGAAGCUUUCUUCCUCCCUCUACAAGGAUUUCAGUGAGUUUUUUACUCGAAGAUUUUAACCUACUGCGAAUCCUCUUGCAAGGAUGCCUUCCUUGAAGAAGCUCUCUUCCUCCCUCUACAAGGAUUUCAGUGAGUCUCUCUCUCACUGCACCCCCCAGAUGACUCCAAAACAGGUAGCAAUUUGGUGUACUCAGUUUUCUUCAUCUCAAAACCAAGAAAGGCUGGCAUCGUUCUGUCAGUCCUAGAGCUGAGUGCCCGCCUGGAAACGUGGUAGUGGAGGGAGACAGCACCCCUUUAAACCGCUUGGUUUGACUUCAAUUCAAUACAUUUUCCAGAAGGAUGGUGAGGAGAUUUACUGGGAAUACUCCAAUCACAGCAGAACUGUACACAUAAUCAUCAACAUCAGCAAACAUCAAGAGGACAAUUAUCACUGUGUUGUUUCUAACCAGCAUCCUGGACAGCAAAUUCCUCGCCGUUUCAGUGAUCAUUAAGUUUUUCCUGUUGCUGGGGGUUUUCCUCACCCCCAGAGCCAAUAAAAUGGAGGUUCUGAUUGGGAGUUGGCAUGUUCCAGAAUGUGUAUUAAGCUAAGAUGACUCCAAAAUGGAUAGCAGUUUGGUGUACUCAGUUUUCACCAUCUCAAAAAUCAAAAUGCUGGCUGACCAAGCGGAACAGCAACCAUCCUGUGUCACACACGCCAGCCUGAGGCACACAGAUACAGGAGGGGAUGAGGAACCAGAUCAAGAUAAAGAGGGAAACGUUUAUGCCAUCCUUCCACGGACGUUGUGAGACAGCACAGAAGAAAGCCUGUGAAGCUUCACAAAUCGAUCAACAGCAAAUCUAUCUUCUCGCAAAUAAGGAGGAAAUGGAAGAGAAGGCAGAGCAAUGUCAUGUUUCUGCGACUCGGCUAGGCCUUGUCUCAGUUCACACAGCAAGAUGUCAGUUCAAAAGAUGGACUUGUCUUGAGAAACCAUCUGAAUAAUGGUCUCUCCCACAACUCUCGGUGGGUCAAUUUAUACCACUGUAGCACGAUCUAACUGUUGAUGGCAGAGAUUUAAGAUUUUAUGGGGUCCUUUCCUAACUUGAACAUCCAUUUGAUUUCCUGGUGAAUGGGUCAAGGCAGACUAGACAAUGAGUUGAACAUAUUCUGCAUCUAUUAUUUAAAUUGUGGUGAGCUGGAAAUAAUUCAAGACAGGAUCAUUCCCUAGCCCUAUCUUCAUUGUCCUCCAACUUCAUCACGUAAAAUAAAUGUCCAGGUCUCUUUUCAGACCUCAUAUGGAAUCUACCUCCACCACAAUCCCAGGCUGCACAAUCCAAAUCCUAACAACUUUGAGAAAAGAGAUAUCUCUUCAUGUGACUCCCAGCUGUCUUGCUGACAAUCUUGAAAUUGUGACCCCUAGUUACUGGCGUACCAACUUGCGGUAAAAAUAAUUCUUCUUUCCCCUGUCAAAAUUCUUCAUAAUUUUGAACACUUCCAUAAGGUCCCUCUCUAAAUCUUCUCUGCUUCAAGGAGAAGAAGCCUGGUGUCACUAAUCCUUCCUUGUAGGUAAAAUCCUUCAUUCCUUCUAUCGUUCUAGUAAAACUCCCGUGAACCCUCUCCAGAGCUUGAAGUUCCUUCCUUAAAUAAAGUGCCCAGAACUGAAUACAAAUGUUAUAUGACUAAUGAUUUGUAGAGGUAUAGCAUCACUUUCUCAGUUUUAUACUUAAUGCCUCUAUUUAUAACUGCAAGGAUCCUAUAAACCUUCUUCACAACUGUUUCAGCUUGCCUGGCGACCUUGAGAGAAUGAUGUGUAUGAACCUCAAGGUUCCUCUGCUCCAGUGCUCCCUACAAAGACGUACCAUUGACCCUGCAUUGUUGCUCUGUGUUUCUGUUAGCAAAAUGCAUUUCAUUUCUCUGCAUUGGAAUUCUUUUGCCAGAUUUCUACCCAUUUGGCCAACUUGUCAAUCUCCCUGUGAAGUCACUCAGCAUCAUCCUCACAAUUCACUCUUCUCCCUGGGUUAGUAUCAACUGUGAAUUAGAGAUUAUAAUCUCAACACCCAACUCCUAAUCAUUUAUAUAACAAUGUAGUUAUUAAUGGGUAUGUGUCAGAUUUUUCUAUGUGCAUGUAACUAUUAAUCUCUACCUGUUUGUUACCCAUAUGUGAAUGGAUUUACCUGUCUGUUCCUGCCCUGUGAAUUGAGACAGUCAAUAUUGACCUGUAUUUACCCGUUUCCCCUAUGUGAAUGUGUGAGUGUAUUUACCAGUCUGUCCCUGCUGUGUUUUGAGACUGUCGAUAUUAAUCUGUGUCUGUCAUUUUCUCCGAUGUUACUAUGUGAAUGUAAUCACCAAUAUUUGCCUUUCAAUCUCUGCCUUGAGAAUAUGUGAAUUUUACUUAUCAUUUGUACCUGUCAGUUCCUGUUUGGUGAAUGUGAACACCGCAGGUACUAAUAUGUAGCUGAAAAUGUGUUGCUGGAAAAGCGCAGCAGGUCAGGCAGCCUCCAAGGAGCAGGAGAAUCGACGUUUUGGGCAUGAGCCCUUCUGCAGGUACCAAUAUGUACCUGUGAGAAUCUGCUGUGAAUAUGAGACUGUCAUUGUCACAAUGUACUUGUCAGUUUAUGCUCUGUGAAACUGGGCGUAUAGUUAUCAUUCUGUUCCUGUCAGUUUUAGCUUUGUGAAUGAGAGUACAGUUAUUACAGUUACAGUCCCUGACAGAUACUGAAAUGCUAAUGUAUCACUUAGAAACUGACCAAUGGAGAUUAAUAGUCACACAUUUGUAUUGCGGUAACUGUGUUGUCAUCAUUUGUUUGUUUCUGCAAAAUGAAUGUGUGUGUAGUUAUCAGCCUGUACUUAUCAAUUUCUACUCUUUCAUAUCUAAGUGGAAGCCAGUAAUAUUCUGUGUCUGUGUGAUACAUUCUGUGAUAGUUGUUAUGAGGGUAUUGAGACUGGAUCUUAAUCUUUUCUGCAUUUUGUGAUUUCUGUGUUGACUGUCAGGUCUGUUUGGGGGGUGGGGAGGGGUGGAGAGAGGAGAAAGGGUGAUAGCAGAAGGGAAACUGCUUUAUUCUGAGAACUAUUCUGAAUCAUGGUCACACAUUUCCUGUUUGGGUCGAGAGUCUGGGAUCCGUGGUAUCACUGAGACAAUUAGUUUCAAUUUGUACCUAGACAUUGUGUUUUUUCGUGAAAGAGUAUUUUAUUCUGCAUGUCAGUCCAUUUCUGAAUGAUAUUUUUUAUACCAAUAUGCAACACCACAGCAUGUCAUCAGUUUUCUCACCAAAAUCAGAAUCACUAAUAUGGUACAGAUCAGAAGCAGACCAUUCAUCCCAUUGUAUAUAUACUGAGACAUUCUCUAAUGCAUCAAUUCUGCAGUAAUUGAUGGGAAUGUGAACUUCUCCCACUCAUUGUCAGUGUCUAUGUGGAAAGGACAAUUUGACAUCAGUUCUGUAGACAUCUGACUUUUAAUAACUGUAGUCCUUGGUCAGACAGAUCACAUUUGUUUUCAGUUCAGGGCACAUUAUUUAGGGAAGGAUCCUCAAGUUCUUGAGAGGGUUCAUUGGAGAUUUACUGAAUUUCAAUCACCUAUGUUCAGUUGUGGUUUGUGUCUGAGUUAGCAUAAACUCUAAAUAAACUCUUUUCAAU